AUUGAACGCUGGCGGCAGGCCUAACACAUGCAAGUCGAACGAGUGGCGGACGGGUGAGUAACGUCUGGGAAACUGCCUGAUGGAGGGGGAUAACUACUGGAAACCGUAGCUAAUACCGCAUACCAUCAGAUGUGCCCAGAUGGGAUUAGCUAGUUGGUGGGGUAACGGCUCACAAGGGCGACGAUCCCCAGCUGGUCUGAGAGGGUGACCAGCCACACUGGAACUGAGACACGGUCAAGACUCCUAGGGGAGGAAGCAGUGGGGAAUUUUGCACAAUGGGCGAAAGCCUGAUGCAGCACUGCCGCGUGUAGGAAGAAGGCCUUCGGGUUGUAAAGUACUUUCAGCGGGGAGGCGUUACCCGCAGAAGAAGCACCGGCUAACUCCGUGCCAGCAGCCGCGGUAAUUC
rnacentral:rRNA from 1 species